rnacentral:lncRNA from 1 species
GUAGAACAAAUGAUCAAGUGAACUUAUGAUUCCUUACAUUCCUUAAAAAAUGCAUUAAGUAUCAAGCAAAUUUUUAAUACGACAAAUCCAACUUUUAGAAGUCAUUUAAUAUGAAAAAAAAAAAAAAAACUCAAGCACAAAAGCUAUGUUCACAUAACUUGCUAAUUUCACAUUCUUUUCCCAUCAUUCACCGUACAUUUUAUUUUGGAGAGCC